rnacentral:rRNA from 1 species
ACGGAGGGUGCAAGCGUUGUUCGGAAUUACUGGGCGUAAAGCGCGCGUAGGCGGUUUGCUAAGUCAGAUGUGAAAGCCCAUGGCUCAACCAUGGACGUGCAUUUGAAACUGGCAGACUUGAGUAUUGGAGGGGGUGGUGGAAUUCCCGGUGUAGAGGUGAAAUUCGUAGAUAUCGGGAGGAAUACCGGUGGCGAAGGCGACCACCUGGCCAAAUACUGACGCUCAUGUGCGAAAGCGUGGGGAGCAAACAGGAUUAGAUACCCUGGUAGUCCACGCCGUAAACGAUGUCAACUAGGUGUUGGGACGGUUAAUCGUCUCAUUGCCGCAGCUAACGCAUUAAGUUGACCGCCUGGGGAGUACGGUCGCAAGAUUA